AGGACGAACGCUGGCGGCGUGCCUAACACAUGCAAGUCGAACGGAGUGAUUUGGAUUCGUCUGGAUCACUUAGUGGCGGACGGGUGAGUAACGCGUGAGCAACCUGCCCUUCAGAGGGGGACAACAGUUGGAAACGACUGCUAAUACCGCAUAACAUAUAUUUGGGGCAUCUCAGAUAUAUCAAAGAUUUUAUCGCUGAGGGAUGGGCUCGCGUCUGAUUAGAUAGUUGGCGGGGUAACGGCCUACCAAGUCGACGAUCAGUAGCCGGACUGAGAGGUUGAACGGCCACAUUGGGACUGAGAUACGGCCCAGACUCCUACGGGAGGCAGCAGUGGGGAAUAUUGGGCAAUGGGGGCAACCCUGACCCAGCAACGCCGCGUGAAGGAAGAAGGCUUUCGGGUUGUAAACUUCUUUUAUGUGGGACGAUAGUGACGGUACCACAUGAAUAAGCCACGGCUAACUACGUGCCAGCAGCCGC
rnacentral:rRNA from 1 species